rnacentral:rRNA from 1 species
CUUGGUCAUUUAGAGGAAGUAAAAGUCGUAACAAGGUUUCCGUAGGUGAACCUGCGGAAGGAUCAUUACCGAGUUAGGGUCUUUUGGGCCCGACCUCCAACCCUAUAUUUAAACUACCAUGUUGCUUCGGCGGAACCGCCUCGCGGCCGCCGGGGGAGUACUCCUCUGGCCCGUGUCCGCCGAUAGCCUUACCACAAAUUCUUCACGAACCGUGUCGUCUAAGUACUACUACAAUUAAACCAAAACUUUCAACAACGGAUCUCUUGGUUCUGGCAUCGAUGAAGAACGCAGCGAAAUGCGAUAAGUAAUGCGAAUUGCAGAAUUCAGUGAGUCAUCGAAUCUUUGAACGCACAUUGCGCCCUUUGGUAUUCCGAAGGGCAUGCCUGUUCGAGCGUCAUUAUCACCAAUCAAGCCCGGCUUGUAGUUGGACCCAGGUGGUCGAAAGACGACCGGUCCGAAAGACAAUGGCGGUGUCUGUGGGACCCUCGGUGCAAUGAGCUUCUCAGCACGCACGGGAGCGGUCUCCGGGCCUAGUCUCAACCACAAAUCUUUACAAGGUUGACCUCGAAUCAGGUAGGAAUACCCGCUGAACUUAAGCAUAUCAAUAAGCGGAGGA